rnacentral:rRNA from 1 species
UACAGAGGUCUCAAGCGUUGUUCGGAUUCAUUGGGCGUAAAGGGUGCGUAGGUGGCGCGCUAAGUCAGGUGUGAAAUUUCGGAGCUUAACUCCGAAACUGCAUUUGAUACUGGCGUGCUUGAGGGCUGGAGAGGAGACUGGAAUUCACGGUGUAGCAGUGAAAUGCGUAGAGAUCGUGAGGAAGACCAGUGGCGAAGGCGGGUCUCUGGACAGUUCCUGACACUGAGGCACGAAGGCCAGGGGAGCAAACGGG